ACUCAAAGGAAUAGACGGGGGUUCGCACAAGCGGUGGAAUAUGUGGUUUAAUUCGACACUACGCGAGGAACCUUACCUGGGCUUGACAUGCUUUUGACAGUCGUAGAAAUACGAUCUUCUUGGCUUCGGUCAGGACAAUUGCACAGGUGCUGCAUGGCUGUCGUCAGCUCGUGUCGUGAGAUGUUGGGUUAAGUCCUUUAACGAGCGCAACCCUUGCUGCCAGUUGCUACUCUCUGAGAGCACUCUGGCGGGACUGCCUGGGAAACCAGGAGGAAGGUGGGGACGACGUCAAGUCAUCAUGGUCCUUAUGUCCAGGGCUACACACGUAUUACAAUGGCUAGUACAAUGGGCUGCAAUACCGCAAGGUGGAGCUAAUCCUCAAAGCUAGUCUAAGUUCAGAUUGGGGUCUGCAACUCGACCCCAUGAAGUUGAAAUCGCUAGUAACCGCGUAUAAUUAUGGCGCGGUGAAUACGUUCUCGAACCUUGUACACACCGCCCGU
rnacentral:rRNA from 1 species